rnacentral:rRNA from 1 species
UCUGGUUGAUCCUGCCAGAGGUCACUGCUAUCGGGGUUCGAUUAAGCCAUGCGAGUCGAGAGGGUUCAGACCCUCGGCGGACUGCUCAGUAACACGUGGAUAAUCUGCCCUAUGGUGGAGGAUAACCCCGGGAAACUGGGGAUAAUACUCCAUAAGUCAGGAGUACUGGAAUGUCUCCUAACUGAAAGUUUCGGCGCCAUAGGAUGAAUCUGCGGCCGAUUAGGUAGNNGGUACGGGUUGUGGGAGCAAGAGCCCGGAGAUGGAAUCUGAGACACGAUUCCAGGCCCUACGGGGCGCAGCAGGCGCGAAAACUUUACAAUGCAGGAAACUGUGAUAAGGGAACCCCGAGUGCCCGUACACGCGGGCUGUCCCGGUGUUUAAAACACAUCGGAAGAAAGGGCCGGGCAAGACCGGUGCCAGCCGCCGCGGUAAUACCGGCGGCUCGAGUGGUGACCACUUUUAUUGGGCUUAAAGCGUUCGUAGCUUGAUUUUUAAGUCUCUUGGGAAAUCUCACGGCUUAACUGUGAGGCGUCUAAGAGAUACUGGGAAUCUAGGGACCGGGAGAGGUAAGAGGUACUUCAGGGGUAGAAGUGAAAUUCUGUAAUCCUUGAGGGACCACCGAUGGCGAAGGCAUCUUACCAGAACGGCUUCGACAGUGAGGAACGAAAGCUGGGGGAGCGAACGGGAUUAGAUACCCCGGUAGUCCCAGCCGUAAACUAUGCGCGUUAGGUGUGCCUGUAACUACGAGUUACCGGGGUGCCGAAGUGAAAACGUGAAACGUGCCGCCUGGGAAGUACGGUCGCAAGGCUGAAACUUAAAGGAAUUGGCGGGGGAGCACCACAACGGGUGGAGCCUGCGGUUUAAUUGGACUCAACGCCGGGCAGCUCACCGGAUAGGACAGCGGAAUGAUAGCCGGGCUGAAGACCUUGCUUGACCAGCUGAGAGGAGGUGCAUGGCCGUCGUCAGUUCGUACUGUGAAGCAUCCUGUUUAGUCAGGCAACGAGCGAGACCCACGCCAACAGUUGCUAGCAUGUUCUCCGGAAUGAUGAGGACACUGUUGGGACCGCCUCUGCUAAAGAGGAGGAAGGAAUGGGCAACGGUAGGUCAGCAUGCCCCGAAUUAUCCGGGCUACACGCGGGCUACAAUGGUCAGGACAAUGGGAAACGGCACUGAAAAGUGUAGUCAAUCUCCUAAACCUGUCCCAAGUUCGGAUUGUGGGCUGCAACUCGCCCACAUGAAGCUGGAAUCCGUAGUAAUCGCGUUUCAAAAUAGCGCGGUGAAUAAGUCCCUGCUCCUUGCACACACCGCCCGUCAAACCAUCUUAGUGAGGUUUGGAUGAGGCUGUGGUUAACUGCCACAGUCGAAUCUAGGUUUCGCAAGGAGGGUUAAGUCGUAACAAGGUANNAUUAUCGGUAUCGACGAAAG